ensembl:lncRNA
ACUGCUUUAUUGCAGCCAGGUAUUUGCAGGGUCCUGCUCACCACGUGGCCCCCCAUGGAGGACCACCCUGACGAGGGUGCCUUCAGGAAGCCCCCUCCAGGACUUCUGACCCCCAAUACAGACACACAGGUCCAAUGGGGGGGGGUCAUUGACUGGUGUGUGACUCCACGUCACCGAGCGCUGCAGACGGUUCCCUCAUCACAGAAAGGAAGCGCGUGUUGUGGACGCCGGUGAAGCACAAAGGACGUGAAGACGCACAAGUGAAAGUGGUCCUCCAGCCGGGAGACGGACCAAAGAAACCAGCUGUUACUUGGUGCUGGUUUAUUAAUACAUUGGUUUCAUUUAAGUGUUUCGUCACCCUUUGUAUUCCAGACCAAGGAUUUAACAUCUUUAAUAAGACCUGAGUAUUUCAGCAGUGUGCACAGAACGCACCUCUCUAGAAGAAGACCUCUGCUGGUUAAAGCAGCUUCCAUUCUUGCGUCGGCCCAUGCGGCUCGUGCAUUAUUAUCGUGAACUGAUCUGCGAUCGGCGACGUGCUGAACAUCACUCGACCUUUAACUUCCAGAGCGGCCGGAUCCCACCAGAUGGUCGUGUGGGGUCCGCGGAGGGCUGAGGCGCUUCGAGCUCCCGGGAGCCGUCACAGGAAAAAACAAGCGAAAAAUAAGUCACGUCUCAAACCCCCCGAACCACGUCAGAGCAGAGUCACGGUCUGCGUUCAGCCGUCCCGCGAGUGUUUGUGCUGCUGGUCGUCCGUUUGCUCCCAAUUACAGAUUACAGAUUAACAAUUACAGAUUAUAGAUUACCGAUUACAGAUUACAGAUUAUAGGGCCAAACAAGGGUCACCAGUCAGCUCCAAAUGUUUCCAAGAGUUCUCAUCCUAGAGAGAUUUGAUUUAAGUUUGGUUCACAGACCCCCCCCCCCCCCCCAGGAGGAGGGAGCCUCUGGGAGACUGCGUUCCUCCCAAAGCACUUUGCAUGCUUCUGAGUUCCUGAGGAUAAAAAAAGCAAUAAAUGUUGACUGAAGAAUGUUGUUAUAUAAUAACAAACUGAAUUAUCGAUGCCGGACUUUUUAGUUUUGAAUUGUUUCUGUUUCCAUUCAAGAAAUAAAAUACUUUUAAUAUCUGAAUGGAAAAGUCUAAACUUUGAUGAGGGAGAUUCAGAGGAAGUGUGUGUGUGUGUGUUUACACAAUGUGCGGUUGGUUUCCAGCUCGUUGUGUUUCUCUCUCGUCCGUCAUUCAGUCACUUUUAUGAAUGUGUGUGUGGGCGGAGCUGCUCAACCAGUUUGUGUGUGUGUGUCAAAUCCCUGGCAGUCCGAAGGCUAAUUAUAUAACCUGUGUGUGUGUGUGUGUGUGUGUGUGUGUGUGUACAAAGAAAGGAGGAAUUUUAAGCUUCCGUCUUGAAACCAAACAAUGAGUUUGAAAUGAUCUCGUUUUAAAAACACUUUUAAACGGAGCGUCGCUUUAGUUAUUUAUUUAUUUGCAUCAUAACCGAAAAUGUUCUUUUUUUAAUUUUUUUAUUAAGAUCAAUGACCUUCUGGUGCGCAACUCUUACAUUAUUGAGAUUAAGCGAUUAAUUUCUAUUAUUAAUUAGGUCGAUAAACAGCUUUGAAGUGGAG